UACGAAGGGGGCUAGCGUUGCUCGGAAUCACUGGGCGUAAAGCGCGCGUAGGCGGCUUUCUAAGUCAGGGGUGAAAUCCUGGAGCUCAACUCCAGAACUGCCUUUGAUACUGGAGAGCUAGAGUCCGGAAGAGGUGAGUGGAACUGCGAGUGUAGAGGUGAAAUUCGUAGAUAUUCGCAAGAACACCAGUGGCGAAGGCGGCUCACUGGUCCGGUACUGACGCUGAGGUGCGAAAGCGUGGGGAGCAAACAGG
rnacentral:rRNA from 1 species